ACCGGCUGGGCCACCUGGACGGGGUUCGCGGCCGUGCCGGGGCUCGCGGUGUUCCUCUUCGUGACGUCCGCGUGGAUCGUCUCCCUGUGCCUGCAC
rnacentral:tRNA from 2 species